AUCCUUACCUGUCAGGGGAGAUACCAUGAUCAUGAAGGUGGGUGGUUUUGCAGUCCUCCCAGGCUCGUCCAUUGCACUCCGGAUGUGCUGAUCCCUGCAGUUUCCCCAAAUGUGGGAAACUUGACUGCAUAAUUUGUAGUCGUGGAGGGCUGUGUUUGUGCUUUCCCAUA